UUACACAUGCAGUCGAACGAUGAUCAGGAGCUUGCUCCUGUGAUUAGUGGCGAACGGGUGAGUAACACGUGAGUAACCUGCCCCUGACUCUGGGAUAAGCGUUGGAAACGACGUCUAAUACUGGAUAUGAUCACUGGCCGCAUGGUCUGGUGGUGGAAAGAUUUUUUGGUUGGGGAUGGACUCGCGGCCUAUCAGCUUGUUGGUGAGGUAAUGGCUCACCAAGGCGACGACGGGUAGCCGGCCUGAGAGGGUGACCGGCCACACUGGGACUGAGACACGGCCCAGACUCCUACGGGAGGCAGCAGUGGGGAAUAUUGCACAAUGGGCGAAAGCCUGAUGCAGCAACGCCGCGUGAGGGAUGACGGCCUUCGGGUUGUAAACCUCUUUUAGUAGGGAAGAAGCGAAAGUGACGGUACCUGCAGAAAAAGCACCGGCUAACUACGUGCCAGCAGCCGCGGUAAUACGUAGGGUGCAAGCGUUGUCCGGAAUUAUUGGGCGUAAAGAGCUCGUAGGCGGUUUGUCGCGUCUGCUGUGAAAUCCCGAGGCUCAACCUCGGGCUUGCAGUGGGUACGGGCAGACUAGAGUGCGGUAGGGGAGAUUGGAAUUCCUGGUGUAGCGGUGGAAUGCGCAGAUAUCAGGAGGAACACCGAUGGCGAAGGCAGAUCUCUGGGCCGUAACUGACGCUGAGGAGCGAAAGCGUG
rnacentral:rRNA from 1 species